GCUCGUAGUGUAUUGGUUGGUUCGCCAC
rnacentral:piRNA from 1 species